CAGUCUACGCCGUAAACGAUGGAUACUAGCUGUUUGGCUUUCGGGCUGAGUGACUAAGCGAAAGUGAUAAGUAUCCCACCUGGGGAGUACGUUCGCAAGAAUGAAACUCAAAGGAAUUGACGGGGGCCCGCACAAGCGGUGGAGCAUGUGGUUUAAUUCGAUGAUACGCGAGGAACCUUACCAGGGCUUAAAUGUAGUCUGACAGCUUUAGAGAUAGAGUUUUCUUCGGACAGAUUACAAGGUGCUGCAUGGUUGUCGUCAGCUCGUGCCGUGAGGUGUCAGGUUAAGUCCUAUAACGAGCGCAACCCCUGUUGUUAGUUGCCAGCGAGUAAUGUCGGGAACUCUAGCAAGACUGCCGGUGCAAACCGCGAGGAAGGUGGGGAUGACGUCAAAUCAUCACGGCCCUUACGUCCUGGGCCACACACGUGCUACAAUGGUAGGUACAGAGGGCAGCGAAGGGGUGACCUGGAGCCAAUCUCAGAAAGUUUAUCUCAGUUCGGAUUGG
rnacentral:rRNA from 1 species